rnacentral:rRNA from 1 species
GAUGAACGCUGGCGGCGUGCCUAAUACAUGCAAGUCGAGCGAACGGACGAGAAGCUUGCUUCUCUGAUGUUAGCGGCGGACGGGUGAGUAACACGUGGAUAACCUACCUAUAAGACUGGGAUAACUUCGGGAAACCGGAGCUAAUACCGGAUAAUAUUUUGAACCGCAUGGUUCAAAAGUGAAAGACGGUCUUGGUGUCACUUAUAGAUGGAUCCGCGCUGCAUUAGCUAGUUGGUAAGGUAACGGCUUACCAAGGCAACGAUGCAUAGCCGACCUGAGAGGGUGAUCGGCCACACUGGAACUGAGACACGGUCCAGACUCCUACGGGAGGCAGCAGUAGGGAAUCUUCCGCAAUGGGCGAAAGCCUGACGGAGCAACGCCACGUGAGUGAUGAAGGUCUUCGGAUCGUAAAACUCUGUUAUUAGGGAAGAACAUAUGUGUAAGUAACUGUGCACAUCUUGACGGUACCUAAUCAGAAAGCCACGGCUAACUACGUG